rnacentral:rRNA from 1 species
CAUCCAUGCCGCGUGCAUGACGAAGGCCUUCAGGGUUGUAANAGUGUCUUUUGUACCGGAAACGAAACACCGCUGUCUAUACAUCACCGCGGGUACAUUAACGGAUACCCUGAAAAAUAUAACACCCGCGGUAUACAUAUCACUGUGCCACACACGCGGCGGUAAAUAUACUAUAGGGUGGGAACGCGUUAAAACUCGAAUUACACGGGCGCUUAAGACGUGUCCCAGCGGGGUAUCAUAAAAAAGCAUUGUAAAUCCCCGCGGCCUUCACCCGGGGAAUGUGGCCUUGGGUACAGGAUAUACUUAAAUGUGGAUCAGAGAGGGGGGAUGAGAUUUCCCGCUGUUAUAGCGAGGUAGAAUGCGCUAUAAUAUUAGUUGGCGAGAGAGAAUCACACAGAGUGGCGCAAAAGCGCACACCCCCCGUGGAAUCCCAUGACCAUCGAGCACGCCUACUAGUCGCCGCAAAAGACGCUUGGUGGGGAGGCGCAAACACGGAGUAUUGAGUAUCACCCCC